rnacentral:rRNA from 1 species
UAAAGGAAGUUGACGGGGCCCGCACAAGCGGUGGAGUAUGUGGUUUAAUUCGAUGCAACGCGAAGAACCUUACCUGGUCUUGACAUCCCGGAGACCCUUAGGAAACUAGGGGGUGCUUCCAUCUGGAAGAAUCUGGAGACAGGUGCUGCAUGGCUGUCGUCAGCUCGUGUCGUGAGAUGUUGGGUUAAGUCCCGCAACGAGCGCAACCCUUGCCUUUAGUUGCCAGCAGUUCGGCUGGGCACUCUAAAGGGACUGCCGGUGUUAAACCGGAGGAAGGUGGGGAUGACGUCAAGUCCUCAUGGCCUUUAUGACCAGGGCUACACACGUACUACAAUGGCCGAUACAAAGGGCAGCGACACUGCGAGGUGAAGCCAAUCCCGUAAAAUCGGUCUCAGUCCGGAUUGGAGUCUGCAACUCGACUCCAUGAAGUUGGAAUCGCUAGUAAUCGUGGAUCAGCAUGCCACGGUGAAUACGUUCCCGGGCCUU